GAAUGAAAUGAUGAACAGAAUGUUUCCCUAUUGGUUUGAUUGCCGUGAUGAUGGCAACUAUGUAUUAGCUCUAUCUGAUCAUUC
rfam:Corchorus olitorius cultivar O-4 contig12409, whole genome shotgun sequence.